GUGCCAGCCGCCGCGGUAAUACGGAGGGUCCGAGCGUUAAUCGGAAUUACUGGGCGUAAAGCGUGCGCAGGCGGUCUGUUAAGUCAGAUGUGAAAGCCCCGGGCUCAACCUGGGAAUCGCAUUUGAAACUGGCAGACUCGAGUCUUGUAGAGGGGGGUAGAAUUUCAGGUGUAGCGGUGAAAUGCGUAGAGAUCUGAAGGAAUACCAGUGGCGAAGGCGGCCCCCUGGACAAAGACUGACGCUCAUGCACGAAAGCGUGGGGAGCAAACAGGAUUAGAUACCCCUGUAGUCCC
rnacentral:rRNA from 1 species